rnacentral:lncRNA from 1 species
GUGAGUCCUCUUGUUUCCUCCUACCGCCCCGGGAUAGGAUUCCAACUGCACGUCACCACACCUUCCUUUUUAUGUGGGUUUUAGGGAUCUGACUUAAGUCCUUAGGCACUAUAGGAACUGAGCUCUUUCCAGCUCAUGUUUAUGAUUAAUGAUGAUAGUUAUAAAUGAACAAACUGACACACAGCCCCGGGAUCUGGAAUCCUGCAAUGGGGAAGUGGUCUACAAUAGAGAAGGUUUCAGAAGCCUGCAACCAUGCACUGGUUAACAGAAAAUUCCACAGAGUAUACUGCUCAGUGGUAGAGCAAUGAUAGUGCCUGGUAUUCGCUAGGCUCUGGCUAUGCUCAGUCCCCAGAGUGACUCUUCUGACCUCUCCACAAUGCCUCCUACCAUUUCUUAUUGUAAUCGUCGAGUACACACUGGAUCUCACUAUCUCAAGUGCCAGGCAAGAACAACACUGAAGAACACCACCAAAGAGAAAGCAUUGCCCCAAGAGCAUCCUUUUAUCUCACAUGAAACUGACCCUUGUCAAAUCGCCAUUGGAAACUCUGAAUACCACAUUUAUUUUAAUUACAUAUAAAAUAAGAAAAUUUACAGAAUAUGGUGAUAAAAAUCUGUUUAUAUAUCACAUUUAGGAAGUAUAGACAGGAGGAUCAGGAGUUAAAGACCAAUUUGCGCUGUGUGGAACUGACCCUGACACAGACACACACACACACACACACACACACACACACACACACACACACCACACAUACACACACAACUUGUGGUAAGAUAGUCGUAACAGGGAUCAUGGUUUUCAAGUGAAAAGUUUCAUCUUACUAAGCUCAUACUGCACUGCUGUACAUUGAUCACUAUCAUCCAUUUCCAUAAAUUCUUAAGCUUCUACACUUGAACUCAGAGUCUACAAAAGACUGACUUUCUACUUCCUAUUCCCUCUGACCUUAAAAAAUGACAUUCUUCUGAUUCUUCAAUUUUGAUUAUUUUAGGUAUUUAUGCUUGUGUGUCAUUAAGGUUCAUUCUUUGUCCUUCUUUUAAAGCCAUUCAAAUUAAAUGCAUAUGCUGCUUUUAAUUAUGCAUUUUCAAUGGGCUUAUUUCUAACUUUGCCUAUUAUGUAUAGUGCUUAUGUGAACAUUAAUUAAUAUGCAAGUUUUUGUUUGGAUAUAGUUUUCAAUGUUUGGGUUACAGAGUAGAAUUAUUGGCUACUUACUUCUUAACUUUUUAAGGAGCCACCAAACUUUUCACCUGUAGCUGUCCUAGUUUACAUUUUGCCAUCGG